CUGCCCCCCCGGAGCCCAGAGUCCGCUUGCUCCCGCGGCUUGCCCAUCCGCAUCCUCCGCUGGCGGUUUCUCGGACUGGCUGCUCACGCACGGGCUGCCGCCGGGCAAGGUGUCCAUCCUAGAGCGCCCAGUGCCCUGUUCCCGCGGGGACAAGGACCGGCCACUGCACUAUGUCGCUGCGGGCCAGGACCUCGAGGCCGGGGAUGUGGCGUUCGAGGUGCCCAUGUCGCUUGUUGUCACGCUGGAGCGGGUUCUAGGCGACGAGUCCAUUGCUGAAUUAUUAACAACAAACAAAUUGUCUGAGUUGGCAUGCUUGGCAUUGUAUCUCAUGUAUGAGAAGAAGCAAGGAAAAGAUUCACUUUGGUACCCGUACAUUAAAGAACUUGAUCGGCAGCGAGGUAGGGGGCAGCUAGCUGUUGAAUCACCUCUUUUAUGGACUGAAAGUGAACUGGAUUACCUGAAUGGCAGCCCCAUGAGGGAUGAAGUGGUUGUCAGAGAUGAGGGAAUAAGAAGAGAAUAUAAUGAGCUUGACACAUUGUGGUUCAUGGCAGGUUCAUUGUUUAAGCAAUACCCUUUUGACGUACCUACCGAGGCGUUUCCGUUUGAGAUUUUCAAGCAGGCAUUUGUUGCAGUACAGUCUUGUGUGGUUCAUUUGCAGAAGGUUAGUUUAGCUCGAAGAUUUGCGCUAGUUCCCUUGGGCCCACCACUUUUGACAUACAAGAGCAACUGCAAAGCAAUGUUGACAGCUGUUGAUGAUUCUGUUCGACUGGUGGUGGAUCGGCCAUACAAAGCAGGAGAACCGAUAAUCGUUUGGUGUGGACCACAACCAAACUCCAGGUUGCUUCUCAAUUAUGGUUUUGUUGAUGAAGACAAUCCCUAUGAUCGUAUAGCAAUCGAGGCAUCCCUAAACACCGAAGAUCCUCAAUACCAAGAGAAGCGAAUGGUUGCUCAAAGAAAUGGAAAGCUUGCUAUCCAAAAAUUCCAAGUCUGUGUAGGUAAAGAGAAGGAAACUGUUUCUGAAAUGCUGCCUUAUUUGAGACUAGGAUACAUUUCAGAUCCUGAUGAAAUGCAAUGUAUACUUUCAUCGGAAGGUGAUACAUGUCCAGUUAGUCCAUGCUCAGAGCGAGCCGUACUGGACCAACUUGUUGUGUAUCUGAAAUCAAGAUUGGCUGGUUAUCCAACUACUUUGGAUGAAGAUGAAGCAAUGUUGGCUGAUGGCAAUUUGGAACCAAAGAAAGAAGUUGCUACCAGACUUGUAAGGUUAGAGAAGAGAAUGCUGCAUGGCUGUCUUCAGGCUGCUAACGAGUUUAUAAGCGGUUUGCCUGACCAUACCGUGUCACCUUGCCCUGCUCUAUAUGCUCCCGAGUUGAAAUAAGAGAAGUAAGUGUGCAGUGCAAUUCGAUUAUUGCUAGAUGGACAUAUCACUUCAAAACAUGUUCUGUGUUAAGUGCAUCAUUAGAAGGGAAAUCUGUGCGAGUGUAAUAAGGAUAUCACUGGUCUUUAGUAGAUCUGCCAAUAGUUGCAUUGCACAGAAGUGUGAAUUGAUGUUUUUUGCCGCCUAGAUUCAAUCUAUAUGUUCAUUUUGAUGAUUGGGAGUUUGGCAAUGACAAUUUUGUACAUGCUCAUUCUCCUUUCUGUGCAUAGAAGAACAUGCGUGGAAGAUGGCUUGGCUCAGAUAUUAUAUUGUGGAUGGCUGGUUUUAGGAUUACCGAAUCUGUCAAUCCACAGCUUGUAAUUGCAUGGAACAGUAGUUGUACUGUGAUGGCUGCAGUUCGCCCUAUGGCGUUUAAUUACCUUCUCGAUGUUGUUAAA